AUUGAACGCUGGCGGCAGGCCUAACACAUGCAAGUCGAGCGGAUGAAGGGAGCUUGCUCCUGGAUUCAGCGGCGGACGGGUGAGUAAUGCCUAGGAAUCUGCCUGGUAGUGGGGGAUAACGUCCGGAAACGGGCGCUAAUACCGCAUACGUCCUGAGGGAGAAAGUGGGGGAUCUUCGGACCUCACGCUAUCAGAUGAGCCUAGGUCGGAUUAGCUAGUUGGUGGGGUAAAGGCCUACCAAGGCGACGAUCCGUAACUGGUCUGAGAGGAUGAUCAGUCACACUGGAACUGAGACACGGUCCAGACUCCUACGGGAGGCAGCGGUGGGGAAUAUUGGACGAUGGGCGAAAUCCUGCUCCAGCCAUGCCGCGUGUGUGAAGAAGGUCUUCGGAUUGGAAAGCACUUUAAGGUGGGAGGAAGGGCAGUAAGUUAAGACCUUGCUGUUUUGACGGUACCAGCAGAAUAAGCACCGGCUAACUUCGUG
rnacentral:rRNA from 1 species